UACGUAGGGGGCAAGCGUUGUCCGGAAUCAUUGGGCGUAAAGAGCGUGUAGGCGGCUCGAUAAGUCUGCUGUGAAAGUCCAGGGCUCAACCCUGGAAGGCCGGUGGAAACUGUCGGGCUAGAGUCCGGAAGAGGCGAGUGGAAUUCCCGGUGUAGCGGUGAAAUGCGCAGAUAUCGGGAGGAACACCAAUGGCGAAGGCAGCUCGCUGGGACGGUACUGACGCUGAGACGCGAAAGCGUGGUGAGCAAACAGG
rnacentral:rRNA from 1 species